rnacentral:rRNA from 1 species
AGAGUUUGAUCAUGGCUCAGAUUGAACGCUGGCGGCAGGCUUAACACAUGCAAGUCGAGCGGUAGCAGGCCCUCGGGUGCUGACGAGCGGCGGACGGGUGAGGAAUGCAUAGGAAUCUGCCUAUUAGUGGGGGAUAACACGGGGAAACUCGUGCUAAUACCGCAUACGUCCUACGGGAGAAAGCGGGGGAUCUUCGGACCUCGCGCUAAUAGAUGAGCCUAUGCCGGAUUAGCUAGUUGGUAGGGUAAAGGCCUACCAAGGCGACGAUCCGUAGCUGGUCUGAGAGGAUGAUCAGCCACACUGGGACUGAGACACGGCCCAGACUCCUACGGGAGGCAGCAGUGGGGAAUAUUGGACAAUGGGCGCAAGCCUGAUCCAGCCAUGCCGCGUGUGUGAAGAAGGCCUUCGGGUUGUAAAGCACUUUAAGUGGGGAGGAAGGUUAGUGGUUUAAUACGCUACUAAAUUGACGUUACCCACAGAAUAAGCACCGGCUAACUCUGUGCCAGCAGCCGCGGUAAUACAGAGGGUGCAAGCGUUAAUCGGAAUUACUGGGCGUAAAGCGCGCGUAGGUGGUUUUGUAUGUUGAAUGUGAAAUCCCCGGGCUUAACCUGGGAAUGGCAUCCAAAACUGCACGACUAGAGUAUGGGAGAGGGAGGUAAAUUCCAGGUGUAGCGGUGAAAUGCGUAGAGAUCUGGAGGAAUACCGGUGGCGAAGGCGGCCUCCUGGCCUAAUACUGACACUGAGGUGCGAAAGCGUGGGUAGCAAACAGGAUUAGAUACCCUGGUAGUCCACGCCGUAAACGAUGAGAACUAGCCGUUGGUCUCCUUGAGAGGUUAGUGGCGCAGCUAACGCGAUAAGUUCUCCGCCUGGGGAGUACGGCCGCAAGGUUAAAACUCAAAUGAAUUGACGGGGGCCCGCACAAGCGGUGGAGCAUGUGGUUUAAUUCGACGCAACGCGAAGAACCUUACCUGGUCUUGACAUCCACGGAAUCCUGCAGAGAUGAGGGAGUGCCUUCGGGAACCGUGAGACAGUUGCUGCAUGGCUGUCGUCAGCUCGUGUUGUGAAAUGUUGGGUUAAGUCCCGUAACGAGCGCAACCCCUGUCCUUAGUUGCCAGCGAGUAAUGUCGGGAACUCUAAGGAGACUGCCGGUGACAAACCGGAGGAAGGUGGGGACGACGUCAAGUCAUCAUGGCCCUUACGACCAGGGCUACACACGUGCUACAAUGGCCGGUACAGAGGGUUGCCAAGCCGCGAGGUGGAGCCAAUCCCGAAAGGCCGGUCGUAGUCCGGAUUGCAGUCUGCAACUCGACUGCAUGAAGUCGGAAUCGCUAGUAAUCGCAGAUCAGAAUGCUGCGGUGAAUACGUUCCCGGGCCUUGUACACACCGCCCGUCACACCAUGGGAGUGGGUUGCACCAGAAGUAGUUAGCUUAACCGCAAGGGGAGCGAUACCACGGUGUGAUUCAUGACUGGGGUGAAGUCGAACAAGGUA